rnacentral:rRNA from 1 species
GGCGAACGGGUGAGUAACACGUAGGUGAUCUGCCCUUGAGUUGGGGAUAGCCCAUGGAAACAUGGGGUAAUACCGAAUACGUUCACCGGGCUGUGGUCUGGUGAGGAAAAGCGCUUCGGCGCUGCUCGAGGAUGAGCCUGCGGCUGAUUAGCUAGUUGGUAGGGUAACGGCCUACCAAGGCGACGAUCAGUAGCCGGCCUGAGAGGGUGAGCGGCCACACUGGGACUGAGAUACGGCCCAGACUCCUACGGGAGGCAGCAGCUAAGAAUCUUCCGCAAUGGACGAAAGUCUGACGGAGCGACGCCGCGUGGGUGAUGAAGGCCGGAAGGUUGUAAAGCCCUUUUCUAUCUGAGGAAUAAGCACAGGAGGCAAUGCCUGUGUGAUGACGGUAGGGUAGGAAUAAGCCCCGGCCAAUUACGUGCCAGCAGCCGCGGUAACACGUAUGGGGCGAGCGUUGUUCGGAAUCAUUGGGCGUAAAGGGCGC